rnacentral:rRNA from 1 species
UACGGGGGGGGCAAGCGUUGUUCGGAAUUACUGGGCGUAAAGGGCUCGUAGGCGGCCAACUAAGUCAGACGUGAAAUCCCUCGGGCUUAACCCGGGGGAACUGCCGUCGUAGUAUACUGGUUGGCUUGAAGUCCGGGAGAGGGGAUGGUGGAAGUUCCAGGUGAUAGCGGUGAAAUGCGUAGAUAUCUGGAGGAACGAUCGGGUGGCGAAGGGCGGCAUCCCUGGGACCGGUAUUGACGCUGAGG